UACAUAGGGUGCGAGCGUUGUCCGGAAUCACUGGGCGGAAAGGGCGCGUAGGUGGCACGACAAGUCAGUGGUGAAAGCUCGACGCUCAACGUCGAGUCGGCCACUGAUACUGUUGAGCUGGAGCACUGUAGAGGCUAAUGGAAUUCCGGGUGUAGCGGUGGAAUGCGUAGAGAUCCGGAAGAACACCGGUGGCGAAGGCGAUUAGCUGGGCAGUUGCUGACACUGAGGCGCGACAGCGUGGGGAGCAAACGGG
rnacentral:rRNA from 1 species